rnacentral:rRNA from 1 species
GAUCAACGCUGGCGGCGUGCCUAAUACAUGCAAGUCGAGCGAACAGAUAAGGAGCUUGCUCCUUUGACGUUAGCGGCGGACGGGUGAGUAACACGUGGGUAACCUACCUAUAAGACUGGAAUAACUCCGGGAAACCGGGGCUAAUGCCGGAUAACAUUUAGAACCGCAUGGUUCUAAAGUGAAAGAUGGUUUUGCUAUCACUUAUAGAUGGACCCGCGCCGUAUUAGCUAGUUGGUAAGGUAACGGCUUACCAAGGCAACGAUACGUAGCCGACCUGAGAGGGUGAUCGGCCACACUGGAACUGAGACACGGUCCAGACUCCUACGGGAGGCAGCAGUAGGGAAUCUUCCGCAAUGGGCGAAAGCCUGACGGAGCAACGCCGCGUGAGUGAUGAAGGUCUUCGGAUCGUAAAACUCUGUUAUUAGGGAAGAACAAAUGUGUAAGUAACUGUGCACGUCUUGACGGUACCUAAUCAGAAAGCCACGGCUAACUACGUG